CGAUCAUCGAAGUUAAGCAACGUUGAUCCUGGUUAGUACUUUGAUGGAUGACCGCUUGGGAAUACGAGGUGCUGUAAG